rnacentral:rRNA from 1 species
UACGUAGGGUGCGAGCGUUAAUCGGAAUUACUGGGCGUAAAGCGUGCGCAGGCGGUUUUGUAAGCCAGAUGUGAAAGCCCCGGGCUUAACCUGGGAAUGGCAUUUGGGACUGCAAGGCUGGAGUGUGGCAGAGGAGACCGGAAUUCCUGGUGUAGCAGUGAAAUGCGUAGAUAUCAGGAGGAAUACCGAUGGCGAAGGCAGGUCUCUGGGCUGACACUGACGCUCAUGCACGAAAGCGUGGGGAGCAAACAGG